rnacentral:rRNA from 1 species
GAUGAACGCUGGCUACAGGCUUAACACAUGCAAGUCGAGGGGAAACGACGGGGAAGCUUGCUUCCCCGGGCGUCGACCGGCGUACGGGUGAGUAACGCGUAUCCACCCUGCCUCUGACUGAGGGAUAACCCGUCGAAAGUCGGCCUAAUACCUCAUGGUAUCGUCUGCGGGCAUCCAACGACGAUUAAAGAUUUCAUCGGUCAGGGAUGGGGAUGCGUCUGAUUAGCUUGUUGGCGGGGUAACGGCCCACCAAGGCUACGAUCAGUAGGGGUUCUGAGGGGAGGGUGCCCGAGAUGGGAACUGGGACACGGUCCAAACACCUACGGGAGGCAGCAGUGAGGGAUAUAGGUCAAUGGGAGAGAGCAUGAACCAGCGAAGUAGCGUGCAGGAAGGCGGCGCGAUGGGUUGUAAACUGCGUUUAGGCGGGGAUAAAGGGAGGGACGUGUCCCUCAUUGCAGGUACCGGAUGAAUAAGGACCGGCUAAUUCCGUG